CCCUUGGAGCAUUAUGGCAAACAAAAGUAGUUAAUUUAAUUUAAUAACGAAAUUGGAUGCAAUGAAUAGGGAA
rnacentral:ncRNA from 1 species